rnacentral:lncRNA from 1 species
GCCAGAACCCCCUCAGGUCACAAAGAGGCUCUGACUGUGGCUCCAGAACACACGCCCUCUCAGUCACUCCACCACUUCACUGUGUGGUCUUGGAUACCUAAUUUAACCUCUUAGGGUCUCAUUUUUCUCCUCUGUGAUCUCUAAAAUUUUACAACUCUAAUGGUGUGGACUUCCUGGCCAAGCAUAUGAUUUUACAGGAAGGUGCAGCGCAGAAACAUUAAGUGAUUUGCCCUCGGUCACCCAGCUUGCUAAUGGCAGAACCAGCACAGGAACCCAGACCCAGUGAUCUGCUCUCCCCUGCCCCCCCAGGCAAGACCUCCUUCCCCUCUACCUCACUUGGCAGGUGUUUCUAGAGGGAUCCAACUCCUUGCUUUAGAGGAGAUCUGUUCUAUGACUUCAGAUAGCUAGAUAGAUGGGAGAGGUUGGGUUUGGGUGUGGCCAAUGACGACACUGAAGAUGACUGUAGGAGGCUGGUGAUAUUUGUCUAAGUACCUUUGACCUAUCUGUCUGUCUACUGGCUGCUAUCUUUUUCAGGUCAAGAGUGGUGAUCAAAACCAUGCAGUAACCACAGGGAAAGAGCAUGGUGAUACCACGGCUGGUGUGGCACAUACAUACAGUUGUUUGUCCUCAAAAAGCCAAUGUUACCACGUUGUGCUGGCUCUCUCAGCCAGCUUCCUCCUGGUGACAGUGGUCAAAAGCCUGCUCCUCUCUCCCCCUUCUCUUGUCAUUUGCUCCCCCUGCCCCAGGAUCUGAUCACUAACUGGUGUGUGAUGAGUGUCCCUUGGGAGGAGGCAAGGUCCAAGAGGCUCCCAGCUGUGCUCUGGUAAUCAGAAGCAGAUGCUCAGCAUCUCUUGCUCCUUGAGCAGCUCCCAGAAGAGAGACAAAAGCCUCUUGAAGGGGACCCUCGCUUAGGGUAAUGGGAAUCCUUUUCCCUUUUGCUCAUUUGUGUCACAUUCUUCCAUUGGGCUGGGCAACUGACAGGUGCACCCCUCCCCGGGCCCCUUUCAGAGUGCCCUCCCUGCCAUUUGUCUCUUACCCAGAUAUCCAACAGACACCAUCAUCGGCAGGAGCCGAAUAUGAUUAGCAGAAACCCUUCCUGACAGCUCCAAAGAGAAUCCCACAAAUGCAUAUUCUAUUGAGUGCAUCUCAUUGCUGCUGACAGCCGCUUUAUCAAUUAAAUUCCACAUUCCCAGUCUUCGGAGAUGCCAUGAACCUCCCUACCUAAUAAAUCACAGGCCCCCAGUUAUUGUUAAAUGUCCCAUCAGUCUCUAAUAAACUCCCUGCCAACAGGGGUAGGUUAUUUAUUAUGCUGCCUGGACAAGAAUGAAUGGGGCCCCGUUCUCACAAGGAGAAGAGCAAACGUACCGCCUUCCUCCCUGAAGACUGAGGCUGUGGUAUUAAAUGGGGCAAUUAAUCAACACGGGCCUUGGGCAGCGGGGAGUCUGGCCCACAGUGAGGGAGGAUGGCCUGCGGUUCUUUACCGAAAGCCAGCCAGGCAAAUCUCCACGGCAGGAGGUGGCAGUGCAGGGUGCAGGGGCCCGGACCUUUGCUGCAUCUCCCCCUCUCCUAAUUCCUGUCUGAAAAGGUACCAAAGAUGUAGUCACCCCAUAGGUCAUGAGGCACGUGUAAAAAGUUAUUCUCCAUGUUGGGAAGUAGCCACGUAGGAUUGAGCAGGGUCACGAAACAAUAACUUCUGUCCAGAAGGCCAGAUAUUAUCACUUGAUAAACUUGAUAUAACUUAAGUUUAUUGAUGGUGCUAGUCCACUGAGCAGAUGAACUGAAGAAUACAGAUGGGAAAGAGAACUAGGAAGCAUGUGCUCAGUCCCUGUUCGCUGGAUAAAUAGUACAUGGUAAGCACUGGCCCAUGGAAAGCGGUGCAUCAACACUUAAAGGAGCCAGGAGCUAUGAGUGCAAGAAACAGUGUGUAAGUUGGGCCUUGCUGUUACCUGCCACAAAUUAGAUCCCAAACUUAGAUGAUGCUUCAUGGUCUGCAAGUUAAAACCCGAACUCCUCACCUUUGCCGUUAAUCAAGCCCCAAUCUACAUUUCCAACUGAAUUUCUCUAUUUCUCUUUAUUGCUACCUAACUACCCCCUUUGGGAGAGCAUGACACCUUCACUUUAUAUUCCUUAUGGUGGCAGGCAAGGUCUUCCAUAGUGGGACCAAUAUAUCCCUGCAGCCUCUUUCCUGGUAAUUGCUGCCAUACUUGCCUCCGUUCACAGUAAAGCUCAUACCUUCCCUAAACUACUGCGGUUUCUCAGGCUUCCACGCCUUUGCACAAACUGUUCCUUUUGCCCAGAAUAUCUUUCUAGCUUGUCUGCCUGGGGAGCUCUCCUUCCACCCCCACUGCCUGAUGAAUUCCUUAUCUAUGCUUCAGGAUCAGCUCACAAAAUCAGCCCCUCAGUGCUUCCCUGGACCUGAGGUUUGUCUCCUGAUGCUGCUGUCUUGGCAGAAGUGCUGGACUCCAGGGACUAGCAAAACGCAUCUUCAGGACCCCUCUCCCAUGGGAUUACCAUGCCAGAGAGCCUCCCACAUGUGGAUCUUCACCCUGUACGUGUGCGGCGCGCGAAGGGGGUGAGAGAGAACGACCAGCAUUAUGAUAGAAGGACAAGGUGAAACUUGGGGCUGGAUUCAGAGUCUCUCUAGGUUUGGAAUUGUGAAUAAGAUUAGGUUCCAGACACACUUAAAUUUGGAAUUAUGACUAAGACUUUGUUAUAGGAGCUCAUUUAUUCAAUAAAUAUCGAGCACUUAGUAUUU